rnacentral:rRNA from 1 species
CCUACGGGGGGCUGCAGUGAGGAAUAUUGGUCAAUGGACGAGAGUCUGAACCAGCCAAGUAGCGUGAAGGAUGACUGCCCUAUGGGUUGUAAACUUCUUUUAUAUGGGAAUAAAAUGUUCCACGUGUGGGAUUUUGUAUGUACCAUAUGAAUAAGGAUCGGCUAACUCCGUGCCAGCAGCCGCGGUAAUACGGAGGAUCCGAGCGUUAUCCGGAUUUAUUGGGUUUAAAGGGAGCGUAGGUGGAUUGUUAAGUCAGUUGUGAAAGUUUGCGGCUCAACCGUAAAAUUGCAGUUGAAACUGGCAGUCGUGAGUACAGUAGAGGUGGGCGGAAUUCGUGGUGUAGCGGUGAAAUGCUUAGAUAUCACGAAGAACUCCGAUUGCGAAGGCAGCUCACUGGACUGCAACUGACACUGAGGCUCGAAAGUGUGGGUAUCAAACAGGAUUAGAUACCCCUGUAGUC